rnacentral:rRNA from 1 species
AACGAACGCUGGCGGCGCGCCUAACACAUGCAAGUCGUACGUGAAAGUCUUCGGACGAGUAAAGUGGCGCACGGGUGAGUAACGCGUGGGUGACCUACCUUAGUGAUUUGGAUAACCAGUCGAAAGAUUGGCUAAUACAAAAUAGAGCGCAGUGAUUAUAAGGAUUAUUGCGGGAAAGGGUGGCAGCAAUGCUAUCGCACUGAGAUGGGCCUGCGUCCCAUCAGCUAGUUGGUAAGGUAAUGGCUUACCAAGGCGACGACGGGUAGCUGGUCUGAGAGGACGACCAGCCACACUGGAACUGAAACACGGUCCAGACUCCUACGGGAGGCAGCAGUGGGGAAUCUUGCGCAAUGGACGAAAGUCUGACGCAGCGACGCCGCGUGGGUGAAGAAGGCCUUCGGGUUGUAAAGCCCUGUCGAGUGGGAAAAAUGUCUUACGUAAUAAUACGACGUAGGAGUGAUGGUACCACUAAAGGAAGCACCGGCUAACUCUGUG